CCGCGGCCUAUCAGCUAGUUGGUGAGGUAAUGGCUCACCAAGGCUACGACGGGUAGCUGGUCUUAGAGGACGACCAGCCACACUGGAACUGAGACACGGUCCAGACACCUACGGGUGGCAGCAGUCGAGAAUCUUUCACAAUGGGGGCAACCCUGAUGGAGCGACGCCGCGUGGAGGAUUAAGGUCUUCGGAUUGUAAACUCCUGUCAUGCGAGAGCAAAGCCCGCGAGGGUCUGAUAGUAUCGCAAGAGGAAGAGACGGCUAACUCUGUGCCAGCAGCCGCGGUAAUACAGAGGUCUCAAGCGUUGUUCGGAAUCACUGGGCGUAAAGGGUGCGUAGGUGGCGUGGAAAGUCAGAUGUGAAAUCCGGGGGCUCAACCCCCGAAUAGCAUCCGAUACUACCGCGCUAGAGAACUGAAGGGGGGUCUGGAAUUCUCGGUGUAGCAGUGAAAUGCGUAGAUAUCGAGAGGAACACUAGUGGCGAAGGCGAGACCCUGGGCAGUAUCUGACACUGAGGCACGAAGGCUAGGGUAGCGAACGGGAUUAGAUACCCCGGUAGUCCUAGCAGUAAACGGUGCGCGUUUGGUGUGGGGUGGUUCGACCCUCCCUGUGCCGAAGUUAACA
rnacentral:rRNA from 1 species